GAAAGCCUGAUCCAGCAAUGCCGCGUGUGUGAAGAAGGCCUGCGGGUUGUAAAGCACUUUUGGCAGGGAAGAAACCCCGGCCUGGAUACCCUCGGGUUUGACGUAACCUCCAGAAGAAGCCCCGGCCAACUACGUGCCAGCAGCCGCGGUAAUACGUAGGGGGCGAACGUUGUCCGGAUUUAUUGGGCGUAAAGAGCUCGUAGGCGGCUCAACAAGUCGGUCGUGAAAGUCCGGGGCUCAA
rnacentral:rRNA from 1 species